GCCGCCGUUACAGGGAGGGUCGUGCUGCCAUUCUGCCCCGGCCCUUUGAAAUCACGUAGUGGCGAUACGUACAGAUAUAUAUACACAUGUCCACGUGUGUGUGCAGGAUCUCCAGCUUGUUGGCAGCAGAAGAUGCCCCUUGGCCAGCUCCAGCUCCUGCGCUGUUACUGGAACUCUUGGCAGCUUGGCUCAGCCUUUGAGGUGAGAGAGAAGAAGCAACACCCACAGCCUUAUCAAUGGGGACACAAGGUUAAAUAUUAGGAAAAAAUAGUGAAAUUAGGAAAAAAUUAUUCUUAGAGUGGUGAUGCAUUGGAAAAGGCUGCCCAGGGAGCCAGUGGAGUCACUUUCCUUGGAGGUGUUCAAGAACCGUAAGGAUGUGGACAUUGUUAGUGGGAGUGAUGGGGAUGAAUCGAUGGUUGGACUAAAAGAUCCUAGUGAUCUUUUCCAACCUUAAUGGUCCUAUGAUUUUGUGAUUCUAUCAGUGUGGAGAAGGGGCUUGGGGACAAGUUACUGCUGCUUUGGCUUCACUCCUGUCCCUGGGAAAUUUGCUCCCUGUACUGGCAGAGGGCAGUUGUCUGCUCCUCUCCUCCAACCCAGUUGGUCUCCCAUGGCCACACUGUGCUCCAUACCGGCUCUUGAUGGCAUUCCAGUCAGAAAUCAGCUUCUGGAGGGUCUUCUUGCGCUUUAGGAUGAUGGGAAGCUCCUCCUGGAAGAGAGGGGCCAGGGUGAGUGGCAGAAGUUUGGGGAUGGAACUGGAGCUGGAGGGUUGACCAUGGCGACCUCGCUGAGCUUGUUGAGUGGCUGCAGGAUGUCACGCUCUAUAGCGAUCUCAAACUCAGCCAAGAUCUUGGCCAGCGAACUCUGGAUGCAGCAACCCAUCUCCAGGGCUCUCCUGAAAGGGAGAGAGAGGUGAAACAAGCACUGGCUGGAGCCAGCCUCCAAUCCAGCAUCCCUUACCAUACCUAUACCCAUGUGGGCACCCAGAGCCAGCCCCCAUUCCCCUUCUGUGCUUGCUUGGGAGUGGAAGCCCCAGAGCCCAGGUAGCAGCUCAGCUAGGUUUUUGCCAUCUUUUCCCUCUGGCACUUACCCAAGGCUGGACUCUGUAUCCAGUUCCUUGAAGCUCUCAGCCAUCGUUGCAGACAGAGCCAUCAAGGGUAGCUUCUUCUGCAUAGAGCCAUAGGAAAAGAGAUGAUGAGCUGAUGUGUGGCAGCUCGCUCGCCCUGAGGCAUACUACUGUGAGCAAGGGACAGAUGGUAUCCUAAACCUGCAGUGGUUCCCCACAUCUCCCUCUGGUUGAGCUCCCUCUUGGCCUUGGGGCUAGGGGAAGAGCCCUCUCUAUGUCCUUCUGGCCAAAGCCAGGACAUGGUUGGCUAAAUAGCUGGUUAGAUAUUCUCUAGCUCUCUCUUAAACAGUGGAGGACUGUGGGACUGAUGGAGGACUCUACUAAGCCCUGCCAUGGCUUCAAGUGUAUGGUGGAAUUUAAUGUCAGGAAUAAUUAAGCCAAGCUGGGAGAAAGGUUCAGCAGUAUCAUGGGGGGGGGGAGGGGGGGAUGUUGGCGCUUGGGAAGGCACAGGGCUUGCUUUCCAGACAGGAGCUGGUGAGCACCAGCUGGGAAGGAGGUGGCAGAUUCAAACCAAGGAAGAGGAAGCGGUGGUGUGCCCAUGCCCAGCUGCACCAUGCUGCUCCUCACCACAGGAGUUCAGGAAAGGGCAUUGGGCGUAAGGGUUUUGUAAAGGUGCUAUCUAGGACUCUAGAAGCACUUUGGCCCCAGGUUUGUGGUGGCUGAGGAGGUGUCCAGGGGACACUCACCACUCGCUUGUCCAUUUCAGCACCGCAGUGACCCUGCAGACAAGCCUGGAGCCGCUUGGACACAGUGUGAGCUGCUCUCUUGGCUGGCUCGAUCCUCUGCUCGAUCUGGAGGUGGAAAGGUGGCACCAGUGAGCCCUUCUUUGUGGCAGGGGGCAUGUCAGAGCAGUGCUCGCUGACACAGCCAUGCUGGAUCUGCCAGUGCUGUGCCGAAGCUGCUGCGUUGGCCCUGGAACCGCCCUCCAGCAGGCAGGAAUGUUCCAGCCCCAUGACAAGGAGGUGCCUGUGGGGAGGAUCUCAUGUAGGGAUGGGGCAUGUCCCCACGUGCGGGUGCAAGCUGGCACUCGCCUCACCUGCAGCAAAUCUUCUGUCAGGAACUCAGUUGCUUCUUGGGCUCUGCAGAGGGAGAAGAACAAGCCAUGAGAAGAAAUGGGGGGGCUUCCUCCUGCAUCUUGCCCUUCUUUCUUUGAGGUCCCAAUAGGAGGUGUUGGCUAUGGCUCAGACCAUCCUCCCCAAAGCUACAGGCAGAGCGAGCCCAGGAAGAGAGCACCAGGAACAAGAGAAGCAGCUCCCACCAGACUGGACUUCCAGCUCAGAGCACUUGGCUCAAAAUAUGCCAGUGAGACAGGGCCACUGCUCUGGUGAGAAGUCUGGGGGUAAAACUUUGUCCUGACUGGCUCUUCCAAAGGCAAAUCCAAGGCAGUUCCUGAUGGAGCCCCGUGGCCAUCUGUCUUUGCUGGUCACAUUGCUGGACUGGAGCAGCAGUAACACUGUGGAAAGGCUGGAGGUGUAGACCAACACCAGCCCCCUGCAGGGCAUAAUUGAAGGCAGCUUUCUGGUUGGUUUUGCAAGCAAGUAUGCAGAGUGAAUCUUGCAAAGGAAGCUUAUGGUUUGCAGCAAAUCCUGAUCAAAACCCAAUUCAAACCCUGACACUCAAGGCCACCAAACCUCCAUGACUCUUCCCAUAGGGGAAACUUUGCUUAGUGGACCCAUGUUUUUGUUGCUCCCUGGAAACCUCUUCUGCUGCUGCUUUAUCCCCCUGCCCAGCCACUUCACGCUUCUGUUUUCAGCUCCUGCAAGAACUGACAUGGGACGAGCUGCAGGAAAUGGGGGUGGUUGGCUUGAAAGCAGCCAAUGUCACGUGAGAUCACAGCCCCGUGGAGGAGAGGUUCUGCGGUGGGUGAAUUGCUCUUUUCGGAGCUGCAUGAGCUAUGUAGGACCUUCUGCACACACAGCCUUAAGUGAAAUGGAUGCACAUUCAGCAUGGAGAUGGAAAAGCUCUCUUCCGGGUUAGAGAGGUGGGAGAAGAGAUUUGGUUUGCAUUGGAAAGGCAAGAAGAGCAACAGGUGACCAGGUUGCAGCUCUGCUGUGGUGGCUGAAGGCCCUUGAUGGACCUGGAACUGGUCCCUGUCAGCCUGCUAGGGCUUGGCAGUCUGUGUGUCUCUGUGCAGAGGUGGUUGCAGGAAACAGGGAGCAAAGGGGCUGGGGGGGGAGGGCCCAGCCCUGGGUUUUGCAAGGGGAGAGCUCUGGAAAGCCAAAAAGAAAAGUAAGGAAGUGAUGGAGAUGAGGCUGAGCUGUAGGAAUACAUUUGAAGCUGGCAGAUCUCCACAGGUGUUCCCACAGGGUGUCCACACUGCUGGCCAGAUGUAGGGCACCAGGCACCCAUCUGAAUGGAGGGAACAAGUCCCAGUGCCUCUUGGACACCACACAUCCUAGGGCAUGUGGUUGGGGAGACCCUGCCCAUUGCCCUCGUGUCCUGCAGAAGCCAACCUCCAUGGGCAGCCAGGUUGUGGAGCCCAUCCCUGGUGAGUAGCACCAAGUCACCAUCCCACUGCACUGCAGCAGCAGGGAGCUGGUACCCACAGCCCCUCAGCUUAUGCUGAAGAUGCUUUAAGCCCAUUUCUCACACUUUCCCUCUUCCCUGGCAACUCGGGUGCCUAAUCCAGCCUGGCGCCCCCCCACCUCCCUCAGGCUCUAUAUCCUGCUCCCUCCCAGCUCACCGAUCCUGGAAGUAGAGAAGUCCUUACCGGCUGGUGGCGUUGGGAUGGGACAGCUGCUGCCGCAUCCGAUUGAACUGCCUCUUCAUCAUCUUGAGAGAAGCAGCUCAGCACCCCUCGGUGACACUUGGCAUGGGACGCCCACAGCCCUUCUGCUCUGCAGAGCUGCCGUUCCGGAGCACCUCUCCCUCCUUGCUCCUUCCUUCUUCCCUGGUUCCCUCUUUUUCUUCUUGCCGGUCUGUCCCCUCCCCUGUCCCUCCCCGAAGAUGCCCUGCCUGCUUUUUCUUCCCCUCCCUUGGGCUCUGUCUCACGGUCCCUCUCUUUUUCUUAGCUUCCUUCCUGGCUGCAGAUCAGGUAAGAGCGGUUGAGGGCUUUGCUCUGCUCUGUGUUCCUGUCACCACCCCACAAAGUAUAAAUAACUUAAGCCCAGCCUUAAAGGGGAAAUAUUAUUGCAUCAAACACAUAACAAGGCAGGACAGGCGCAUGCUGCUGCUGAGCCCAAGUGGGAGGCCCACGCUCUGUUUCACCCGCCUUGCCAUGUUUACCACCAGCUGUGGUGUGGGAGGGCACUGCAGGGUGAUGCACACCCCACGCUAUCAGGUCAUCCCAGCACCCCUCUGCAGAUGGCGAAGCCAUCCCUUCCCCCUUCCCCUGCUGCCCUUGCAAGGUUGCAUGGUGACCACAAGCUUCACGUUCCUGUCCUUAGCAUCACUCGCUCUGCAGAGCUGCACUCAGCUCAAGCCACGCAGUGCAACUUUUCUUCCCCAACCCCCUUCCUUCCCCCCCAGAUUUUGCUCCCACUCUGCACGAUGCAAAGCUUGCCUUAUCUGGCUACCUGCAGCUUUUCCUCCUCCUGUACUGAGAGCAGAGGCCCAGCUAUGUGGAACCUGAGCAGGGAUGGGAAGCGAUUGCUCCAGCUGUGCCCCAAAGCCUGGGGCUGCUGGGCUCUGCUCUUCCUUACUGGAGCGUGCAAUAGAAGCGAUGCUGGACCCUCUGCUUCCAAGGGAGGUGGCUUAGCGGGCAGUAUUGGCAGGCGGUUGGUUGGACUAGGUGAUCUGAGGUCUUUUCACACUUUAAUGACUCUUAAUGGGGAGACCAAGCAAGGGAAUGCUGCCUGAGCAUCAUCUUGCUCUAAACUCUUCAACCAAGUGGCCACCCACGCCUGCCUCCCAGCAACCAACCCCCAGCUCUGCGCCAAAACCGCCCUAAUAGAGCUGCUUCCGAUCAGCAGCCUCAGGGAGGAGGAAGUUUUGCUGCAAAGCCACCAGCCUGCAACCAGCCCUGGGGCCUGCAAGCAGCUCAUCAGCUGGGGAGCACCGGGUGCUCCUGCCCAAUGCUUUCCCCAGAGAGAAGGAAGCAGAGAGCAGCUCAUAGUGUUGACAGGGCCUGCUCUCAAACAGGAAUUGAGAGCGGCUGGGGGGACUUCCACUAUUCACUCUCCCUGCUCAUGAACCAGCGAGGCCCAAGACGAGCUGGGGCAGGUCAGGAGCUGGCAACGGCCCCAUGCGAGGCCAACAGCUCCUUGGUGCAGGCAGGGGAAGAUGCAUUGAGAAGGCACAGCAUCAGGAAAGAACUCUUUUUAUUUUCCAUAAAUACAGCAGAUUUGUCGCGCCGGGCGUUUUUUAAUUGUUUUCUUCCAUGUGCAGAAUUUGCACUGAAAAUAUAUACAAGUCUGUUCAAGAACCAGAUCUGCAAAGAAAAAACAAACAAAC